GAACUGGCAAGGCAUGGGCUCGCCUUGACUAGUUUAGCCCUGUCCGACAAUACUAAACGGUCUUACGAUAGGGCCUUCAAACUAUACAAGAGGUUUAUGAUAGAACACAACUUGGUGCAGUUUUUUGCCAUUUCCACACGGGCAGCUUUUGUUUCGUUUUGUCAUCUCAAACUCAAACUGUCACACAACACCAUCAAAUUAUAUUUAACCGGCAUACAACACCUUAUACCCAGAUAACUCUAGUUUCUUAUCGUCUUACCCCAUUAAAAACAUUCUUAAAGGCGUACAGAAAUCCAGUAUCACCCCUCC